rnacentral:rRNA from 1 species
GUGGGGAAUCUUGCGCAAUGGGCGAAAGCCUGACGCAGCCAUGCCGCGUGAAUGAUGAAGGUCUUAGGAUUGUAAAAUUCUUUCACCGGGGACGAUAAUGACGGUACCCGGAGAAGAAGCUCCGGCUAACUUCGUGCCAGCAGCCGCGGUAAUACGAAGGGGGCUAGCGUUGCUCGGAAUUACUGGGCGUAAAGGGCGCGUAGGCGGACAGCUUAGUCAGAGGUGAAAGCCCAGGGCUCAACCGUGGAAUUGCCUUUGAUACUGGCUGUCUUGAGUUUGGGAGAGGUGAGUGGAACUCCGAGUGUAGAGGUGAAAUUCGUAGAUAUUCGGAAGAACACCAGUGGCGAAGGCGACUCACUGGCCCAAUACUGACGCUGAGGCGCGAAAGCGUGGGGAGCAAACAGGAUUAGAUACCCCAGUAGUCC